AGGCAAAUUUUAACCUUAAAUUAGUACAUCAUGUACUGGAGUAAUGUAAAUGUUUCUGUAGGGUAUUUUUUUUGCCUUUAUUUUUAAACAAAAAUAUGUAGAUAAGCAGACCCCCAGGGGAUCUCCAGCAGCAGUAGAAAUUUUGUCGACCAAAUUUUGUCAGCUUUUUAGUCAACUUCUUUUCAGCCCUAGAUCAAAACCCUCAUCUUUCUCUUCUAUAAAUGCAGUUUUGAAGUAGUAUUUUACAGUUCUAGAAUGUUAACUGAACCUCCUUUGGGUGUGAUUGCACUUGACAACUGAAAGAAUCCUCAGCUUGUCACCAUUCAUGUUUUGUAAUCCUGUCGUGCGUUUGCUGUUUUCUGAGAAUUUUAAAUGCCAUCAAACUUGCAGAACUAAUGUAUAACUACUCCUCUGGCAUAACCUGAUUAUUUGUACUUGCAGUGAAGUAAAUUAGUAUUUGAACACCCUGCUGUAUUACUUCUCCCACUUCGAAAUCAUGGACAGGUCUGAAAUUUUCAUCAUAGGUGCAUGUCCACUGUGAGAGAGAGAAUCUAAAAAGAAAAGUGCAGAAAUCACAAUGUAUGAUUUUAUUUUAUUUUUUUUUUUUUUUUUUUUUUUUUUUUUUGAACGAUUUGUGAUACAGCUGUAAAUAAGUAUAUGAACACCUGUCUAUCAGCUAGUUUUGAAUUUUAGAAUUCUGACCCUCAAAGACUUUUGGUCCACCUUAAGGGUUUGCAUGCCGCCCUAAAAAAACCCUAAAAUUCCGAGGGUGCUUUCCGGGGCCCCUAAAAGUCCUUAGAAAUCAUUGAAAACCGGUCAAGCCCUUAAAAAGGCCUUUAAAUUUAAAAAAAUAAAAUAAAAUAAAAUUGAGGACCUCUACUGCCAAAAUUCUCCCUUAAAAAAAUGUAUCUAUUUAAAAAAAAAAAAAGCGAUCAGGAAAUUGUCAAUAGUAGUCACUGUGUUCACAACUAGUUGGCAUCUUGUCGUCGAUAUUCCAUUGUUCGUUUCCGUGAGUAGGCAUUUCACUUCGUCUUCGUUACGACGCAGCUUAGUUCUUUGAUCGAUCCAACUUGUCAUGGGGACAUGCAUUCUUCAAGAUGCUUGGGCUGAUUUGAUAGACUGUCUCAUCUUCCGUUGGUAUGAAUCUGUUUCUAAAAUAUCAUGAUAGUAAAGCAUCAACUUUAGGCAGUGGUACUGCCAGUGCAUGCGCACCUACAGUUGUCCAGUCAUCGACUUCAACCAGCCAGAAGUCAGGCUUUAUGAACGUAGUUCAAUACACGAAGACGGACUCGUUAAAGGAAGAGAUCGUGUGGACUUCAAAAUUGAUUUGCAGCCAUUACAGUGACAAAUCUUGUGAAAAUAAUUCGAAAGUGUUUGCAGUCAUGUUCCCAGAUAGUGACAUUGCUAAAAACUACCACUGUGGGGAAGGGAAGACUUCGUACCUGGCUACAUUUGGCAUCGCUGCCCACUUUUCAUCUCUACUGCCUCAAAGCCAGAAUAGAGACUGACAUAUCUAUGCUUGUUGAGAAGGCUGACAGGCUGUGUGAGGAGGCAGAAGAAAAGAGGAAUCUGAGGUUUAUCAUCGAGGCCAAUGCACUCAAAGGCAGAGCAAAGGACAAGAGAGCCACUUUGGCACCUCUGCAGCAACAAAUAGAGGAGGCUAGACUCGUAGGGGUGCUGAGACAGACAUCAGUAGAAGACAUUUGUGCAUAUAGUUGCAAUUGUAGUGAGAAUCUGUUUUUCUGUAGACUGUUAUGUGAAGACAUUGACAAUGGUUAUAUCAAUGAGAACAACCACAAUGGGUGACAGGUGAUCGCUGUCACAGGUACUGAGGUACUGGAUCCUUUGAUGAACCAAGAACGGUUGAUGGCACCAUUAGAUCAUCUCUGAGUGGACAUGCACCUACGAUGAAAAUUACAGACCCAACCAUGAUUUUUAAGUGGGACAACUUGCAAUAUAGCAGGGUGUUCAAAUGUUUACUUUCUUCACUGUACAUCAUUUCCUUGCCAUGACCCAAGAAGCAACAUUAAAAUAUUUCUCCUUCCUGCUUAUAUAUUUACAGCCCCCUCCAAAAGUAUUGAAAAUGGAAGGUCAAUGCUUUUGUUUUUGUUGUAUACUGGAAAUAUUAAGGAUUCAGAUAAAAAAAUGAAAACAAUGACAAAAAUUUGAUGACAAAAAGUUAAUAAUUUUGAAGGUCACUGCAGAUUCUCAUUCCUAAUUUUUCUGGUUGUAAUUGUGAAUAUUACGGUAACAAUUUCCUUCACAAAGAACAAUUUACAACAGAACAUUUACACAAGUACAUGCAUUUCUAUAUAACAACUUAUAAAAAUGCAUUCAAUAAGUGCAAUACCAUCAACCUGCAUAGUAAAUUACAUUAAAUUGUCACAUUUAUAGGACUUUAUUGCAGCUUGGUUUGUACUUUAUUUUAUUUAUUUUAUUUUUUUGCUCAAUUUUCAUCCCUUGUCGAUGGGCAAGGCAGUGCCCUUUCAUGGCAUGUUGUCUUAAUCUGACAGGGGGAAAGCAAAUUGAUCAUAUUCAUCCCAGUCAUCUCUGGUUCAGUGAGUUAAAAAGGCUGGUUCAUGCUGUGGUCACAUUUGAACAAAG